AUUGAACGCUGGCGGCAUGCUUUACACAUGCAAGUCGAACGGUAACAGGCCUUCGGGUGCUGACGAGUGGCGAACGGGGGAGUAAUGCAUCGGAACGUGCCCAGAGGUGGGGGAUAACGCAGCGAAAGCUGUGCUAAUACCGCAUGUGAUCUGAGGAUGAAAGCGGGGGACCAGGCAGCAAUGUUUGGCCUCGCGCCUUUGGAGCGGCCGAUGUCAGAUUAGGUAGUUGGUGGGGUAAAGGCCUACCAAGCCGACGAUCUGUAGCUGGUCUGAGAGGACGACCAGCCACACGUCGUCUGUAACUCGGCCCAGACUCCUACGGGUUGCAGCAGUGGCGAAUUUUGGACAAUGGGCGCAAGCCUGAUCCAGCAAUGCCGCGUGCGGGAAGAAGGCCUUCGGGUUGUAAACCGCUUUUGUACGGAACGAAAAGGCUCUGGCUAAUACCUGGCGCUGAUGACGGUACCGUAAGAAUAAGCACCGGCUAACUACGUG
rnacentral:rRNA from 1 species